GCAGCAGUGGGAAUUUUGCACAAUGGGCGCAAGCCUGAUGCAGCCAUGCCGCGUGUAUGAAGAAGGCCUUCGGGUUGUAAAGUACUUUCAGCGGGGAGGAAGGCGGUGAGGUUAAUAACCUCAGCAAUUGACGUUACCCGCAGAAGAAGCACCGGCUAACUCCGUGCCAGCAGCCGCGGUAAUACGGAGGGUGCACAGGGUUAAUCGGGAAUUACUGGGGCGUAAAGCGCACGCAGGCGGUCUGUCAAGUCGGAUGUGAAAUCCCCGGGCUCAACCUGGGAACUGCAUUCGAAACUGGCAGGCUAGAGUCUUGUAGAGGGGGGUAGAAUUCCAGGUGUAGCGGUGAAAUGCGUAGAGAUCUGGAGGAAUACCGGUGGCGAAGGCGGCCCCCUGGACAAAGACUGACGCUCAGGUGCGAAAGCGUGGGGAGCAAACAGGAUUAGAUACCCUGGUAGUCCACGCCGUAAACGAUGUCGACUUGGAGGUUGUGCCCUUGAGGCGUGGCUUCCGGAGCUAACGCGUUAAGUCGACCGCCUGGGGAGUACGGCCGCAAGGUUAAAACUCAAAUGAAUUGACGGGGGCCCGCACAAGCGGUGGAGCAUGUGGUUUAAUUCGAUGCAACGCGAAGAACCUUACCUACUCUUGACAUCCAGAGAACUUUCCAGAGAUGGAUUGGUGCCUUCGGGAACUCUGAGACAGGUGCUGCAUGGCUGUCGUCAGCUCGUGUUGUGAAAUGUUGGGUUAAGUCCCGCAACGAGCGCAACCCUUAUCCUUUGUUGCCAGCGGUCCGGCCGGGAACUCAAAGGAGACUGCCAGUGAUAAACUGGAGGAAGGUGGGGAUGACGUCAAGUCAUCAUGGCCCUUACGAGUAGGGCUACACACGUGCUACAAUGGCGCAUACAAAGAGAAGCGACCUCGCGAGAGCAAGCGGACCUCAUAAAGUGCGUCGUAGUCCGGAUUGGAGUCUGCAACUCGACUCCAUGAAGUCGGAAUCGCUAGUAAUCGUAGAUCAGAAUGCUACGGUGAAUACGUUCCCGGGCCUUGUACACACCGCCCGUCACACCAUGGGAGUGGGUUGCAAAAGAAGUAGGUAGCUUAACCUUCGGGAGGGCGCUUACCACUUUGCUGAUUCAUGACUCGGGGUGAAGUCGUAACAAGGUAACCGUAGGGGAACCUGCGGUG
rnacentral:rRNA from 1 species